GGGCCUCAGGGAGCAGAAGCAGGGCACCUCCACCAUGGCCUGGACCCCUCUCCUCCUCGGCCUCCUUGCUCACUGCACAGAGUCUGUGGCCUCCUAUGAGGUGACACAGCCACCCUCGAUGUCAGUGCAGCCAGGACAGACAGCCAGGAUCACCUGCGGGGGAGACAACAUUGGAGGUAAAAGUGUUGACUGGUACCAGCAGAAGCCCGGCCAGGCCCCUGUAACAGUCAUCUACAGCGAUAGCAACCGGCCCUCAGGGAUCCCUGACCGGUUCUCAGGCUCCAACUCAGGGAACACGGCCACCCUGACCAUCAGCAGGGCCCAGGCCCAGGACGAGGCUGACUAUUACUGUGCAGCAAGGGGUAGUGGUACUAAUUCUCACGCCUCCCUGGGAGCUUCUGACCAGCUCCCUUGCACCCUCAGCAGUGAGCACAGACCCUACACCAUUUGCUGGUAUCAACAGAGACCAGGAAAUGGCCCUCAGUACAUGAUGUACAUUAAGAGUGAUGGAAGUCACAACAAGGGGGACAGGAUCCCUGACUGUUUCUUGGGCUCCAGCUCUGGAGCUGACUGCUACUUAACCAUCUCCAACAUCAAGUCUGAGGAGGAGACUGAGUAUAUCUGUGGACCCUGA